GGCCGCGGGAAUUCGAUUCAGGCCUAACACAUGCAAGUCGAGCGGUAGAGAGAAGCUUGCUUCUCUUGAGAGCGGCGGACGGGUGAGUAAUGCCUAGGAAUCUGCCUGGUAGUGGGGGAUAACGUUCGGAAACGGACGCUAAUACCGCAUACGUCCUACGGGAGAAAGCAGGGGACCUUCGGGCCUUGCGCUAUCAGAUGAGCCUAGGUCGGAUUAGCUAGUUGGUGAGGUAAUGGCUCACCAAGGCUACGAUCCGUAACUGGUCUGAGAGGAUGAUCAGUCACACUGGAACUGAGACACGGUCCAGACUCCUACGGGAGGCAGCAGUGGGGAAUAUUGGACAAUGGGCGAAAGCCUGAUCCAGCCAUGCCGCGUGUGUGAAGAAGGUCUUCGGAUUGUAAAGCAAUGUAAGUUGGGAGGAAGGGCAUUACCUAAUACGUUAGUGUUGA
rnacentral:rRNA from 1 species